UGAGUAGACCGGGUGACCGCCCCGAUUUUAUCGAUAACAUCGAUUGUAUCGGGGAGGAAAGUCCGAGCUCCACCGGGCAGGGCGCUGGGUAAUACCCAGGAGGGGUGACCCUACGGAAAGUGCCACAGAAACAUACCGGCCGCCUCUGGCGGCCAAGGGUGAAAUGGUGAGGUAAGAGCUCACCGGCGUACCAGGUGACUGGACGGCCGCGGAAAACCACGCCCGGAGCAAGACCAAAUAGGGGAACAGAUGGCGCCCGGCCAGUUCCCGGGUUGGUCGCUGGAACCCGGUGGUAACACCGGGGCUAGAGAGAUGGUCACCGUCCCGACUUGUGUCGGGAUACAGAACUCGGCUUACAGGUCUACUUGCCCA
rnacentral:RNase_P_RNA from 1 species